GUGCUCAUUUCAGCAGCACAUAUACUAAAAUUGGAACAAUACAGAGAUUAGCAUGGUCCCUGUGCAAGGAUGACCGACAAAUUCGUGAAGCAUUCCAUAUUAAA
ensembl:snRNA U6 U6 spliceosomal RNA